GGUUAAGCGACUAAGCGUACACGGUGGAUGCCCUGGCAGUCAGAGGCGAUGAAGGGCGUGCUAAUCUGCGAUAAGCGCCGGUAAGGUGAUAUGAACCGUUAUAACCGGCGAUACCCGAAUGGGGAAACCCAGUGUGAUUCGUCACACUAUCAUUAACUGAAUCCAUAGGUUAAUGAGGCGAACCGGGGGAACUGAAACAUCUAAGUACCCCGAGGAAAAGAAAUCAACCGAGAUUCCCCCAGUAGCGGCGAGCGAACGGGGAGGAGCCCAGAGCCUGAAUCAGCAUGUGUGUUAGUGGAAGCGUCUGGAAAGGCGCGCGAUACAGGGUGACAGCCCCGUACACAAAAGCGCAUGUGCUGUGAGCUCGAUGAGUAGGGCGGGACACGUGGUAUCCUGUCUGAAUAUGGGGGGACCAUCCUCCAAGGCUAAAUACUCCUGACUGACCGAUAGUGAACCAGUACCGUGAGGGAAAGGCGAAAAGAACCCCGGCGAGGGGAGUGAAAAAGAACCUGAAACCGUGUACGUACAAGCAGUGGGAGCACAGGUUUACCUGUGUGACUGCGUACCUUUUGUAUAAUGGGUCAGCGACUUAUAUUCUGUAGCAAGGUUAACCGAAUAGGGGAGCCGGAGGGAAACCGAGUCUUAACCGGGCGUUAAGUUGCAGGGUAUAGACCCGAAACCCGGUGAUCUAGCCAUGGGCAGGUUGAAGGUUGGGUAACACUAACUGGAGGACCGAACCGACUAAUGUUGAAAAAUUAGCGGAUGACCUGUGGCUGGGGGUGAAAGGCCAAUCAAACCGGGAGAUAGCUGGUUCUCCCCGAAAGCUAUUUAGGUAGCGCCUCGUGAAUUCAUCUCCGGGGGUAGAGCACUGUUUCGGCUAGGGGGCCAUCCCGGCUUACCAACCCGAUGCAAACUGCGAAUACCGGAGAAUGUUAUCACGGGAGACACACGGCGGGUGCUAACGUCCGUCGUGAAGAGGGAAACAACCCAGACCGCCAGCUAAGGUCCCAAAGUCAUGGUUAAGUGGGAAACGAUGUGGGAAGGCCCAGACAGCCAGGAUGUUGGCUUAGAAGCAGCCAUCAUUUAAAGAAAGCGUAAUAGCUCACUGGUCGAGUCGGCCUGCGCGGAAGAUGUAACGGGGCUAAACCAUGCACCGAAGCUGCGGCAGCGACACUGUGUGUUGUUGGGUAGGGGAGCGUUCUGUAAGCCUGCGAAGGUGGCCUGUGAGGGUUGCUGGAGGUAUCAGAAGUGCGAAUGCUGACAUAAGUAACGAUAAAGCGGGUGAAAAGCCCGCUCGCCGGAAGACCAAGGGUUCCUGUCCAACGUUAAUCGGGGCAGGGUGAGUCGACCCCUAAGGCGAGGCCGAAAGGCGUAGUCGAUGGGAAACGGGUUAAUAUUCCCGUACUUGGUGUUACUGCGAAGGGGGGACGGAGAAGGCUAUGUUGGCCGGGCGACGGUUGUCCCGGUUUAAGCGUGUAGGUGUGUGUUCCAGGUAAAUCCGGUUCACUUUAACACUGAGGCGUGAUGACGAGGCACUACGGUGCUGAAGCAACAAAUGCCCUGCUUCCAGGAAAAGCCUCUAAGCAUCAGGUAACAUCAAAUCGUACCCCAAACCGACACAGGUGGUCAGGUAGAGAAUACCAAGGCGCUUGAGAGAACUCGGGUGAAGGAACUAGGCAAAAUGGUGCCGUAACUUCGGGAGAAGGCACGCUGACAUGUAGGUGAAGUGAUUUACUCAUGGAGCUGAAGUCAGUCGAAGAUACCAGCUGGCUGCAACUGUUUAUUAAAAACACAGCACUGUGCAAACACGAAAGUGGACGUAUACGGUGUGACGCCUGCCCGGUGCCGGAAGGUUAAUUGAUGGGGUCAGCGCAAGCGAAGCUCCUGAUCGAAGCCCCGGUAAACGGCGGCCGUAACUAUAACGGUCCUAAGGUAGCGAAAUUCCUUGUCGGGUAAGUUCCGACCUGCACGAAUGGCGUAAUGAUGGCCAGGCUGUCUCCACCCGAGACUCAGUGAAAUUGAACUCGCUGUGAAGAUGCAGUGUACCCGCGGCAAGACGGAAAGACCCCGUGAACCUUUACUAUAGCUUGACACUGAACAUUGAGCCUUGAUGUGUAGGAUAGGUGGGAGGCUUUGAAGUGUGGACGCCAGUCUGCAUGGAGCCGACCUUGAAAUACCACCCUUUAAUGUUUGAUGUUCUAACGUGGACCCGUUACCCGGGUUGCGGACAGUGUCUGGUGGGUAGUUUGACUGGGGCGGUCUCCUCCUAAAGAGUAACGGAGGAGCACGAAGGUUGGCUAAUCCUGGUCGGACAUCAGGAGGUUAGUGCAAUGGCAUAAGCCAGCUUGACUGCGAGCGUGACGGCGCGAGCAGGUGCGAAAGCAGGUCAUAGUGAUCCGGUGGUUCUGAAUGGAAGGGCCAUCGCUCAACGGAUAAAAGGUACUCCGGGGAUAACAGGCUGAUACCGCCCAAGAGUUCAUAUCGACGGCGGUGUUUGGCACCUCGAUGUCGGCUCAUCACAUCCUGGGGCUGAAGUAGGUCCCAAGGGUAUGGCUGUUCGCCAUUUAAAGUGGUACGCGAGCUGGGUUUAGAACGUCGUGAGACAGUUCGGUCCCUAUCUGCCGUGGGCGCUGGAGAACUGAGGGGGGCUGCUCCUAGUACGAGAGGACCGGAGUGGACGCAUCACUGGUGUUCGGGUUGUCAUGCCAAUGGCACUGCCCGGUAGCUAAAUGCGGAAGAGAUAAGUGCUGAAAGCAUCUAAGCACGAAACUUGCCCCGAGAUGAGUUCUCCCUGAGACUUAAAGUCUCCUGAAGGAACGUUGAAGACGACGACGUUGAUAGGCCGGGUGUGUAAGCGCAGCGAUGCGUUGAGCUAACCGGUACUAAUGAACCGUGAGGCUUAACCUU
rnacentral:rRNA from 1 species